UUGGAUUAAUACCCCGUAAUAUAUAGAGACGGCAUCGUUUUUAUAUUAUAGCUCCGGCGCUUAAAGAUGGGUGUGCGGCUGAUUAGAUAGUUGGCGGGGUAACGGCCCACCAAGUCGACGAUCAGUAACUGGUGUGAGAGCACGACCAGUCACACGGGCACUGAGACACGGGCCCGACUCCUACGGGAGGCAGCAGUAAGGAAUAUUGGUCAAUGGACGCAAGUCUGAACCAGCCAUGCCGCGUGGAGGAUGAAGGUCCUCUGGAUUGUAAACUUCUUUUAUCUGGGAAGAAAUCCACUUUUUCUAGAGUGGUUGACGGUACCAGAUGAAUAAGCACCGGCUAACUCCGUGCCAGCAGCCGCGGUAAUACGGAGGGUGCAAGCGUUAUCCGGAUUCACUGGGUUUAAAGGGUGCGUAGGUGGGCAAGUAAGUCAGUGGUGAAAUCUCCGGGCUUAACCCGGAAACUGCCAUUGAUACUAUUUGUCUUGAAUACUGUGGAGGUCAGCGGAAUAUGUCAUGUAGCGGUGAAAUGCUUAGAUAUGACAUAGAACACCAAUUGCGAAGGCAGCUGGCUACACAAAUAUUGACACUGAGGCACG
rnacentral:rRNA from 1 species